rfam:Mucor circinelloides f. circinelloides 1006PhL unplaced genomic scaffold supercont1.119, whole genome shotgun sequence.
GGUUUCAUAGUGUAAUGGUUAUCAUAUCGGUCUUUGAAUCCGGUGAUCCGAGUUCGAUUCUCGGUGAGACCU